rnacentral:lncRNA from 1 species
GAACCUCAGGCCUAUCUCACUGAUGAUAGUGUUAUGGGGCUGCAGGGGCUAUUUAUAGCCAGCCCUGUGACUGUGAGUACGCUGGCCAUGCUAGGUGGAUUCCAGUGGUAUGCUCAGCUCCAGUACAACCCAACCAGCACCUGCUGCUAGAGCUAACUGCCACGCCGUCGUUUCAGCUCCCACUGGGCCUGGACCACAUAGCCCCAGGCCAAACCUCAGGAGGAGAGAAAAGAAGGUUUUGUUGGAGGAGGAUUUGACUGGAGUGGUGGUUGAUGUGUGAAGAGUUUUCUCCAGGCUGGGCUUUAGGAUCUGGGUAGAGGGCUCAGGCUGACAUGACAUGAUAGGGGCCUCCUUCUAGUUCACAUGAAGGUGCAGGAUACAAAUAAAUGUUGACUGAAUCAGGCUUUGAAUCCUGAAGAACAAUUAAGAGUUUGACUUAGAAAGAGGAGGAUAGGACGUUGGCACCAACUUAUGACGUCAGUGAUUCGACUACCGGUAGUUCCUACUGCACUGCCCUAUGUUCACUAAGUGAUUUUGGCGAGGUGGAAGAACCAAAUGACAAACCGUGUCCUGAGCCCCAACCUCUAGUCUCA